rnacentral:lncRNA from 1 species
UUAUCUUGAAACCAAACGACUCCUAAAUGUCCUUUAGAUCAAAAUAAUAACAAUUUACAACCACAUUUCUUCUCUUCCUCUCUCUCUUCUCUCUCUCCUGUCUCUCAGGCAGGGGAUCACUCAAGCUAGAGUUUUCUAAGGAUGGAAGACGAUUAUGGCAUUCGAAUCAUCACUGUAACUGGAACUAAUGUGAGAGCCAACAUGCAACGUGAGAUGGAAAUAAAUCUAGGAUCGAGGCGUUUCACCAGGGGAACGAGCAAAUGCGCAAGUCGAGCUUUUCUUUUUCUUUUAUACCUUGAUUCGACAGAACUACACCUAAAACACGAGGUCUUUAAAAUAUGUGAACAUCAGUUUGCAGUUCAUCAACGAUUCCAUCAUGUUGGGUGGUAGGCAUUGUAUAAUGACGACUCUGAUGUCCAUUUGGACAUAUUUGAUUAUGCGGAAGAGCAAGUCCCAACACCAAAGGAUCAUUGAAACAAAAGAGACAGAAAAAGUAACCACCACUAUGAAAAGUCAGAAUAGGCUUAUAUAUAAUCAAGAAAAGUUCAAUCAUGUAUUUGAUACAAUAUGUAUCUCAGUAUUUGUAUCAACUGUUAUCUGAUACAAUAUGUAGAUGUAUAAAUGGUAUCUCGUGUAAUUGUAACAGUGCAUAGAAAUUGUAUAUUAUUGUAUAAAAUAAGUAUUCAAAUAAUUAUUGCAACU